rnacentral:rRNA from 1 species
AUUGAACGCUGGCGGCAUGCCUUACACAUGCAAGUCGAACGGCAGCACGGGAGCAAUCCUGGUGGCGAGUGGCGAACGGGUGAGUAAUAUAUCGGAACGUGCCCGGUCGUGGGGAUAACGUAGCGAAAGCUACGCUAAUACCGCAUACGAUCUAUGGAUGAAAGCGGGGGAUCGCAAGACCUCGCGCGAUUGGAGCGGCCGAUAUCAGAUUAGGUAGUUGGUGAGGUAAAGGCUCACCAAGCCGACGAUCUGUAGCUGGUCUGAGAGGACGACCAGCCACACUGGGACUGAGACACGGCCCAGACUCCUACGGGAGGCAGCAGUGGGGAAUUUUGGACAAUGGGCGCAAGCCUGAUCCAGCAAUGCCGCGUGCAGGAUG